GCCAGCAUGGUGUAGUGGUUUGAAUGCUGGACUACGAUGCUGAGGGAUCAGGGUUCGAAUCCCUGCUUUGUAA